GACGAACGCUGGCGGCGUGCCUAAUACAUGCAAGUUGAGCGCUGAAGGUUGGUACUUGUACCAACUGGAUGAGCAGCGAACGGGUGAGUAACGCGUGGGGAAUCUGCCUUUGAGCGGGGGACAACAUUUGGAAACGAAUGCUAAUACCGCAUAAAAACUUUAAACACAAGUUUUAAGUUUGAAAGAUGCAAUUGCAUCACUCAAAGAUGAUCCCGCGUUGUAUUAGCUAGUUGGUGAGGUAAAGGCUCACCAAGGCGAUGAUACAUAGCCGACCUGAGAGGGGGAUCGGCCAACUUGGGACUGGGACCCGGCCCAAACUCCUACGGGAGGCAGCAGUAGGGAAUCUUCGGCAAUGGACGAAAGUCUGACCGAGCAACGCCGCGUGAGUGAAGAAGGUUUUCGGAUCGUAAAACUCUGUUGGUAGAGAAGAACGUUGGUGAGAGUGGAAAGCUCAUCAAGUGACGGUAACUACCCAGAAAGGGACGGCUAACUACGUG
rnacentral:rRNA from 1 species